GUUGACACAGCAUGACGAAUUACGUGCAAGGGACACGGAAUAUACUGUAGAAUAACCUUAUUGUUCUUCAUAUUCACUCUUUUGACUGAGAGACCAUUUAAAGGCUCAGGAAACCUUUGCAGGUGUUUUAAGUAUGCAGAGAAAAUUCUUGCUGGAGAGCCUCUUCAAUUUUCAAAUGACCCCUCUGCGGCUGAAAAAUACAGAAAACAGGUGGCGUUGACACUCCUAAACGAGACAGAUGACCUCAGUGAGCUUUGCCACUAUUGUGGGGAGAAGGAUGCAGGGCAAGGAAGGACAACUGCCAAAAAAAAAGAAAAUGCUUGGGUCCAGUGUGACGUGUGUGACCGAUGGUUCCACAUACAGUGCGCUAAAAUGGUGGACCCCAGGAAGUACUUCAGCUGUGCUGCAUGCCAGUUUGUGCCUCCAGAUUAAAAUUCUACUGCAUUUUCUUUUGCAAACAUGCAAAAAAGUAAUAAAGUAAUGUGCAAGACUUGCGCUUAAUUGAUGUGGUUACUGUGAUUGUGUAGGUUUAUGUACUUAUUUUAAGGUACAUGAUAAUCAAAUGCUUCUGAAAUGCACCAUAAUAUAUAUUUUUUUAAUAAUUAUUUUGCUGUUUUGAAAAAUAAAGUUUAAUAAAAUACACUUAAA